rnacentral:rRNA from 1 species
AAAUUGAAGAGUUUGAUCAUGGCUCAGAUUGAACGCUGGCGGCAGGCCUAACACAUGCAAGUCGGACGGUAGCACAGAGAGCUUGCUCUUGGGUGACGAGUGGCGGACGGGUGAGUAAUGUCUGGGGAUCUGCCCGAUAGAGGGGGAUAACCACUGGAAACGGUGGCUAAUACCGCAUAACGUCGCAAGACCAAAGAGGGGGACCUUCGGGCCUCUCACUAUCGGAUGAACCCAGAUGGGAUUAGCUAGUAGGCGGGGUAAUGGCCCACCUAGGCGACGAUCCCUAGCUGGUCUGAGAGGAUGACCAGCCACACUGGAACUGAGACACGGUCCAGACUCCUACGGGAGGCAGCAGUGGGGAAUAUUGCACAAUGGGCGCAAGCCUGAUGCAGCCAUGCCGCGUGUAUGAAGAAGGCCUUCGGGUUGUAAAGUACUUUCAGCGGGGAGGAAGGCG